CUAGAAAAAAGGUUUUUACCCAAUACCACAGUUCCCAUCAGUACUGCCUCACUGCAGUCCAAUUCCCCUCCUGUAGGCAUCAAGUCUCCUCCUGGCCUGUGUGGAGCCCAGGCUAGGGAUCUCACUGGUGAGUCCGCUGGUUGCCAGGAUUCAGGCCGUUUUCUGUGCAGGAGCUGGGAGUGGUGUAGCCAGGUCUGGGUGUCGUCUACUUCAAUAGCCGUGGGUGUGCUCAGGGUAACAGUGUGGUGUCCCUUUCAGGUUGGGGUGAGUCCUUGGGCAGUGAACUUCUCUACCCACACAGAAACUCCGGGCUGGAAGGGGUAUACAGGGUCCACGGUGGGCACUGGCAGUGCAUCUGGAACAAGCUUAUGGGUGUGUCUCUGGGUAAACUGCAGAGCCUGUAAGGACUUGAGCAAGGGAAUGGUUAUGAAUUACAGCUUUCAGUUUCUCCCUGACCCUGGGAAGGAUGGAGAAAGAUCUACUAUACAUGAUCUCAAAAGGGGGGAACCUAUCCCAGUAGGGGGUACACCUGGCCCAUAAGAGGGCGAAGGGCAGGAGGUUGGUCCAGUUUUCACCGUUUUCUAGGACAAAUUUAAUUAAACUUUUUAGAGUUCCGCUCAUGCCUGUCCUAA